CACGGUACUACCUGCCUUCCUGAUGUUCUCGCCUUCUUUUGUUGUUCAUGUCAUCGGCUAAUUUAUAUUCCUUUUUCUCUCUUCAUCAUCUUCUUGAGAAUAUCUGGUCGAACUUCGGAGCAGAAUAUAUGGCACGAUAUAUUGUUUGGCUCAAACAAUUCAAAAAAUUCAAGGACAAGUCCAGCGCCAUUAGGUCUGACACUGGUGUUUGCAGAAGGCUGUCUAAGUUCAUCAAGAGGUGGCGCCGUCCUGGGCAGAUGUUAGUUGUUGGGUAACCUGAGUAUAAAGCAAUCAUAGAAGCGAGCAUGGGCAUACCUUGCAUUUUCCAUGAAACUGUGAUGGAGGUGACGUGGGGCGUGAAGCAUAUCAUCCAUAGUCUAGUGCCUAUGGAAAAAUCAGAGCUGACUAAGGAGGAACGCCUCCCCAUGAGUCAAGGACUAAUAAUGUUC